CAUUAUAAAAAAUAACUUUUUUUAUUACUAUUUUCUUAACUUUAAUAUUUGUAGAGUUAAAUUAUUCUAAAAAUUUUAUUUAAAAAUUUAAUUAAACUUAAUAAUUUUGAUAGCUAUUCUGUAAAUAAUUUUUUUAACUAAAACUUAAAGUUGGAGGAUUUAUUUCAAAUUAAAAAAUAAGAGAGUAUGUCUUUAUCUUAUUAAAAUUGAUUGGAGAAAGAAGAAACUAUUAUAUAUGCCUGGUGUAUAUUAAUACUUUACACACCAUAACUUAUAUUUGAUGGCUAAUGUUUAAUAUAAAAACCUAAUUAAAUAUAUGAAAAUCUAAUCAUUUUAAAUUAUAUAUUUAAUAAAUUAAUUUUAAAAUCUCUAUUAAAGGAUUCUAAGCAUAUGGUGUAUGUACACAUAUAUAUCAUGCAGAGAAUAUUUAAUAAGAUGCACUUAUUAAACUCCCACUAAAUUUUAGACGUCUAAUGGUCAAAAUAUUAAUAGUAAACACUAUCUCAUAUGUUGGAUAAAAUAAUUAAUAUCCAAAUCAAUACGCAAAAAUUGUAUAGAUUUUUACAUACCACUUUUGUUGCGGAAUGUAUUAUGAUUACAAGAAACGAAUCUCGUCUUAUUUUGCAAACUCGUUAAUCCACCAACGACCUAUCUCAAUUGUUGCACGUUGUUCUUGCUCGUUGCAAUCUGGCUACCAGAGUCGAAUGCAGCACACUGCGCAAAUCCCAAGGGUUUCUGAUGGUGCCCUAGAGCGAACCCAAGAGAGAAUUUUAUGGAGAGAUGAUUCUAAUUUUUUUUUCGUAUCUCGUAUAUGGUCAAUACCUCAAGUAUUUAUAGGCUACAAGGGAGACAUUAAUCCUAAUCAUAUUCUAACUGAAUCUCUCAUAGAUAGAGAUUAAAACAGAUUAGGAUUUAUCUGUCAGAUUUAUCCCUUAUCCCAUGUGGACUAAGAAUAUCUUAGAUAAUUACUAAUAUUUAUUUCUUAUCCUAUAUAGAUUAGAAAUAUUUUAGAUAAGUCCCAAUGUGGACGAAUCCUAAUAUCUCCCACUCGUACACACUUGGUACUUAUACUUUCUCAUCCCAAAUAUAUUCUCAUCUCGUUCUGCUCUUCAUAUGGGAAAUGGUUUGGGCGAUCAAUAAUGUGAAGAAUAAAAAAUGAGGAGUAUUACAUUACGCCACCAUCCAACUAACAUAACACUACAACUCCAAUUCUCGUCUAUACCCCAAAUCACUGAACUACACUAGAUCAUAGCAUCUAUGAUUCCAUAGAGCAUGCUAGAUCUCUCCUAUCAAUGCAUUUGUUCUCAUGAUUAUAUUGACAACAAAUAUCAAUAUAAUCGCCAGGGCUAUGAGUGACAAAUCAUAGGUGUAUUAUCAAAUGAUUUUUCCUUAGAUGCCUCAUGCCAAUCCAUUUCAACUUUACUGCUCUCCUAGACAUGCUCCGCCAGACCGAAUCAAUCAUGGCUCUUGGAUAUCAUGUUAAAGUAGCAUCCCCAAGUAUCCACUUCAUAACAUGAUUCUAAGUCGCAAAGAGUACGCAAAGCUCACACUGCUACGAAUCAGGAAUCAAUUUCGUCACUCUUUAAAACAUAGUGAUCAAUCUUGCACAUACGGUCUGAAUGUAUGUUAUGGUGGAGCUAGCUCUAAGGACAUGUCAUGCUCAAAACACCAUACGAUGUCGAUUCUGUUGUGACUCAAGACAACAAACCUCAAGACAGUGACCCAUAUGGUGUCUUCUUUACAUUCGGCUUCAUACAGGUCAAGUAGAGUCGUGGAACAUCUCUACUGUCAACUUCGUACAGUCUUAUCUUAGGUCAUCUAAGGUGACAUUCAAAGUUUAAACACUUGCCAGCUCUUAUAGAGCAAAGUGGAUCACCUGCAUUACUAGCUGCAUUUAUGUUAUCUUAUUUGUCUUAUCCUGCUUGCUCUCCUAACGACAGUGCAAUCACCCGUGUGAGAUGGCUGAUCAAAGGCCUCGUGACAUUCAUUCUCAUAAGGAUCAAAGGCCGUGUGAGAGGGCUAAUCAAAGGCCUCGUGAUAUUCAUUCUCAUAAGCUAUCGCUACUUUGUUGUCACAAUAGACAAUAACAGUAUCGUCUGCACGCAUUGUUACAUUCAAAUUUGUCAUAAAUGUCCUUAGCCAAACAGCCUAUUGUACUGCUGUCGUACAUGCAAUGUACUCUGACUCCAUUGUCACGCCCCGAGACCGGCGGAGGCCCUCCCGGUAGCGCGCCCAGACCCGCCAUAUGUCCACACAUAUAAGGCGUCUACAACAACAGCGAAAACAAAGCAAGGAAUAUGAAGGUAAGGAGGAACAAUAAUUAAUGAUAUCAGAGCAAGUAUAACCACUAAUACUAGCAAUAGCAGUAGAAGAAAAGAACUACUCAACUAAAGUAAACAUAAAGUAAUACAAUAUCCAUCUCCUGAAGUUUUUUACCAAAAAGGGGUGGUCUCUAUACAUGGUACAACUCUCAACCUCUUCAAAAAGAAACGACGAGAGGUAGACCACCGAUCAACGCGUCCUCGGUAGCAAGCUAGCUCGAGGCGAUACCCUUUCCGCGGUCCCUAGCCUCGCCCGGAGUGGAAGGCUCUAAAAAAAUAUAUAUAUAAAACAGAGGGCGUGAGAACUAUAAUUUAUAGUUCCCAGUGGGCAAUUACUGACCUCAGCUCAAUGCACCACUAGGCCCCAAAAGAAAAUGGUAAGUCCAAAAAGCAACAAUAAUAAUAAAUGGAUUGCAUUUAUGAAAGCAUGAUUAAAAUGCUAAACUACUAUGUCGCAAAUAAACAUGAUGUCAAUGUGUUGUACAUCUACUUUAUCAAAAUGAAGUAUGUCCAAGCAUGACUAAUAUAUCCCAACAUAACGAGCAAAUAGGUAUCAUGAACCACUAUAACAAUAUAUGAUAAAUAUGCUCUAUCAUGGCAGCCAAGUAUACUAUGAUGCAACGAAUAAGACUAUCAUGUAUACUAUAAGUCCCAACACUAUGCUAUAAGCAUAUCAAGGUAAUCAAACUACUAAGCCUAUCUAGUAUUGAUUGUCAUUUCCCGAUUCAAUGUCUUAAUCAUGUUCUAGGACCUACAUAAAUGUAGUCCAGCUUGUGCCACCUAAGUGUCGAUGGUAGCUCCAGCAUUCCCACUCUAGGAAUGAGUCUAUCCCUCCCAACCCCAUAGGUUUCUCGAUACCGCACGAGCGAGCAUAAGUCGCGCAGGCCAACUCCGGAGUGCCGGCUUGUAGGGAGCGACCCUCACAAGCAUGUGCGAAUGAGUACAAAUGGCAAGCAAGCGUAAUCAUCGUCUCAUAAGCGUGUGUAUAUAUAUAUAUAUAUAUAUAUAUAUAUAUGAAGAAACAGAGAAAAAAAUCAUUAUAAAAUGUAAAUAAAUUAAAAAAUAAUGAGUAAGGGAGCAAUUAUCUUAUACACAGGGUGUAUAACUAUUUUUUGCACUAUAUUUAUAAAUCUUUAUUAUGAAAUUAGCAAUUCAGUAAUUUUUUUUAUCUAGAUUCUGUAUAUAUUAUAGAUUGCAUUUAUCAUAUUAGAUUUUUAAUGUGAGACCCCAGGUAGUCUAUAUAGAGGAUAUAAUAGGGCUAAAACUUUAAACCUGACUAUAGUAUAUUAUGCGGUAGUUAGGCCCAAGAGAUUAAGAAGAUUAAGUAUGUUAAAACUGGAGUAGUUUUAGAAUAGGUGACCCCCAUAGGAAGUGAGAUGGGUCAACUAAGGCUAAGGAAGAGGCUAACAACUUACUCGAGUUGGUAAAAGAGCUACAUGGACCAAUGUCGAUUUGGCCUGGAUUUUCAGGUUGGUGAGCAUUUAUUACUCAAGUUUUGGCAGGUGUGUGGGAUCAGGUAGUCCAAACCUCAAUACAGGUUUAGUCUGUAGGUUAUUAAUUAGGUGGUGGUGAUCUCGGUGGGUGUUGGUCCGUAGGCUUAGGAUUUGGUAUGUCCCUUGUCUCGCUGGGGAGAAUUGGGAGUAGCAGGAACCUACUCGAAGGUUAAACCAUAAUAAAGGAGCAAUAUAUAUCCAAUUUGAUUACUAUAAGUGUGUAGUCAAGUUUUGGGGACAAACCUUUCUUUAAGGGGUAAGUGAUAUAGAAAACGAAAUUUUUAAAUUCAGGAAAAAUAUGUUAAUCGAAUAAUUUCAAAAAAAGGAAAGCUAUUUCUAUAAAACAUAAUAGUUUUCAGUGAAACAAAAACUCCACCCUCAAGGUCUGGUAGUGUCGGAAGUUGCGGUGAGGUCCUUUUUCAAAUUUUGCAUGAUAAAAGCACGGUCUAAAAAUGAUAUAUGGCAAAUGGUCAAUUUGCGAAAAAUAGGUUUUAUGGUAAAAGAUGCGACAUUUUAUGUGUCGAAUUACGUGAAAAUCCAUAGUAAAGUGCCGCUGGGCAAAAUACACGUGUUGGUGAUUUUUUGAUAAGAAACUCAAAGGUUGGAGGGCUAAAUUGCAAUUUUUACAAAGUGUGAAAAAAGAGCACUUUUGAAAGAGGCUAUCACUUCAUAUGAAAAAUUUCACAGUUUUGACGAACAGAAGGAUCCAUGUGAAAAUAGACACGAGGUGAUUACACGAAAUCAAGUUGCACAAUAAUCAAGGGUUUAUGUGCAAAAUGGCACAUGUUUAGUCUAGAAGAAAAUUUUUUACCGAGGAGUUUUUCGGUAAGAAACGUGGCAUUUCGGUUACUAAAGUGCACGAAACUGCGAGAGGAAGGUUUACGGUACAAUUUUUUGCAUGCUGGUUAGGGCUAGAUGGAAAAAUUAAAACUUUGGGGGCUUAAGUUGCUCUAUAAUAUAUAUAUAUAUAUAUAAAAUUGAGCUCCUAUACUUUUAAAAGUACCAAGUCAUUGGUGCUUAUAAGUUUUCGGCCCUUGGAUUAAAGAAUGUGCGGUUAGGAUGAUGUGGGCCUCCUAGGGUUGAGUGGGUGGUUGGUUGAAUAGUAUAAUCUAACAGGUAAAAAUGAUCAAAGGUAUAGAUCUAACGGUAAAAAAUUUACAAGGACCAAGUGCUUGAUACUUUUACAAGCACCAUAGCCGGACUAUAUAUAUAUAUAUAUAGGGGCUUAAGUUGCUACUUGUACAUACACAUAUAGUGAAUAGAAUUUCCUAUCAAAAAUUCAAUUGAUUUCAAAUCUUUUACAUUGUUAAACUAGCGAGCAUCCCAUACCUGCCGUUAAAAAUUAUCAAUUUUUAGAUCUUUUGAUCAUAAAGUAAAUAAUGUCAAAAAAAUUACAAAAUUUGGUUUCUAGAAGUUUUAAAUGCUCUAAAUAAUAUUUAACGGUAUGGAUCAUCAAUUCAAAAUCUCUAUCGUCGAAAAUGACUUAUGAGUACGAAGUCAAUCGUACUCAUAAGAGUAUAGAAGCAUAAUAUAUAUAUAUAUAUAUAUAUAUAUAGUUGAGCUGGAAUGCUAUCGGUAGCAAACCGGCUCCGUUGCCACCCAUUUGUUUUCAAUGAUAGAGCCUUUAAAUUGACGAUCGGAACCGUUAAACAUGAUCUAUACCACUUGAAGUAUCUAUAAACCAAAUUUCAAAUCUUUUCGACGUCAUUGACCUAAUGAUCAAAUGGUUUCAAAAUUUGUAAUUUUAAUGGUAGAUAUGAGGCGUUUUCUUGUUCAACGGUGUAAAGCUAUCCAAAUCAAUUGAACUUUGGUUAGAAAAUUCUUUAAACUAUUUAGAAUAAGAUUUAUACUCUCGAUCUUGAUUACAAAAUUCCUAUCAUCACUUUUUAGAGGAUAUUCAUUUUCAGCCGUUUAUUUUUACGCUCACUUGAUGGUCAAGAGAACAAUAUCAGAAAAGCAUGACAUUUGAUUUCUAGAUACUUCAAGUGGUAUAGAUUAUAUUCAAUGGUGUCGAUCAUCGAUUUGGAGGCUCUAUCAUCGAAAACAAAUGGGUGGCAACGGAGCCGGUUUGCUACCGAUAGUAUUCUAGCUCAACUCUAAAUUUGAGCUUAUAAUAUUUUACCGGUAUUGGAGCACUACCAAUAGCAUAGAAUUUGUCGAAUAACGAAUCAUUUUUAAAACACUUAUUCAUAUUUGCUUUCAAAUAUCGAAGACACCAUCGAUGUGUAUGCCCCUGUCGAGUAGGAUAUAUCUCAGCCAUUAUUUUCUUUAAGCCACUAAAUCGAUCAGGUAUAAAGCAAACAUGUCGAUUGCGUGUAACAUAAUAAUGCAAGUUUUGUAAAAACCAAAGCCAACUUUUGCCCUUUUUUUCUUCGCAAAUUGCAAAUGCUAAAGAAAAAUUGCUAUUGUUUGCAUCUACAGUUGUCGCUAUCAAUGCAUGGCCUUCAUAUUUGUCAUACAAAUGAGUGCCAUCAAUGCUCACUAUCGGUCGACAGUGUGCAAAUCCAUGAAUAGAAGGACCAAAUGACCAAAAAACACGACCAAACUGACAUACUCCGUCUGAUGGCCAUCUGUCACGCCCCGAGACCCGCCUAUUUGGUCGGAUUCGAGAGCGCCGACAGACCGCCAAACAGACAGAGUUUUUCCUGUAAGUCCAAGGCGCCGCAACCAUACAAUACAAGAGGUUCCAACCAGGAACAGAUAUAAUACAUGAUUGCAUAAGAAGGAUACCAAAAAAAUAACUGCUAAGCUAUUACAAGCAUUCAGCUCAUUACCACGUAUUUACAUCAUUUUACAUUCAACUUCUAAAAACAAUCUUAAUUAGUACAAUUUUGUUUUUUCUUUUCCUUUCCACACCCCUAUGCUACCAACUGGGGGUACUGCUAUCUUUGGUCACAGUGAUAGGGCGCUAUCUACUGAGCUAGACCCUUUCCUCGCAUCGCCGCGCCGCUUGCCUGUGGACCUGAAAAACGUGGAGUGAAAACUAUAUAAAUAGUUUCCAGUGGGUACGGCCACCUAAGGAAAGAGUUCGACCCACCAGGUCCAGAUGAAGAGAAGAGCUUGUGAGAAGGGUUUUCCCUCUUCUUCUCUUGUGUGUGAGGGAAGAAAUGAGAGAGGAGGGUUGGGUGGCUCACUAUAUAAUAGAGGAGAAGCUACAAUUGCCAAAAACCCCCUAAACUAGGCAAUUUUCGCACGCAGGGUCCGGAUCUUGGUUGUAGGGUCCGAACCCCGUAGGUUGUUUUUUUUCACAAUUUGCGGUGGGUCCGAACCUUGGGUCCAGGGUCCGGACCCUGAAAGUCCUUAGCUCAAAAUUGCUAUUUCCAAAAAUUCUAAUUUUUCGUCCUUGAGCCUCUUAGUCACUUCUAAUCAUCCCAAAACCCUCAAAUCUCAUUUUUGAGUAUUUUCUUUAAAUUAUUUCUCUAUUAUGCUUUGCCGGAUUUGGCCAAAGUCAUAAUUGCCGAAGUUCGGUAUGUUAUAUUCUCCACUACUUAAAAAGAGUUUCGUCCUCGAAACUCAAAUCACACAUCCCUUCAACUCAUCAAAUCAACGAGGGAAUUAACUCACUCUCCCACUCCAGAGCGGCUUCACGCUUUUGUGAUUGCUCAAGCGGCUUAUACCGAAGGACGUGGGUUCAAUCACAAACACAUCUACGAAAUGUAAUACAAGAAGUGUAUCACGGGUCUUGCGAGUUUCAGUGGCAGCGCAAGUCGAUAUUUGACGACUAUACACGCCCCAACAUCACUCGCUACCCGGCACACGAUGGACCUAUCUCAUUGAUGCCACCGGAUACCACUUACCUUCGAGAUCAGGACUACCCCUCAACCUUUGGUGUGGAUCUAACAAAAAUGCACCAACUAGUCAAAUGAUCCACCACCACUACACAAUACAUACGGGUAGACCUCCUCGAAUCACACAAGUGUCCGCAAAGUGGCACUCUACCACUCUGGCCAUCCAAGAGUCUACAUUACCGUAUACGACUCUUCUUUGCAUCUACCAUCCCUUAAGGGAAUACACUCCGAUUUGAUCACCGGCAUUGCUUAGAAGCAAUAUCACAGGUGUAUCGCCCAAUCGCGAGUGCUCCAAUUCCACAUGGACUUUUAGCUCUACCUCGAGAUAACCCAUCUUGGCACAUCUCAAAUUUCAGUCCACCGGAGAACAUUGUCCCCUAACCUCACGUGGCUUCUCAUUAUCCAAAUGUCUCAUAGAGAGCACCACACUUUUCCUUUCAUAUGCCAUGGCCAACAAUCUCACCAAGGCCUACUGCCUAAACUUGUCUCAAUACGCAUAACGUCGCUCACUCGCAAGCGUAGACCCAAUCAUCACCGGGCGAAAUUCUCAUUUGAGACUUUGCACACACUCCAACUAAGAGCAACCAAGACCCCAAACCACUACAUAAUCCUCGGGUUGGGUCACAACCGCACUCUCGGUGUAUUACCAAUCACACGAUCUGGCACGUGGCAUUCCACGUUCCCAGGUCCAAGCUCGGACUACUACCCCGACCAAAAUCUCUACCCUACCCGUAGGUACGGGGCGGCUGUCACACACAGCCGACUGCACCUAUCCAUAUGGCCUCGGGUUCCUCAGUCUACAAAUAGUCCAGACACGGAUCAUCCCCAAGCAAUACCCGCCAACGUCGUCUCACACGACACGCUCUACCGAGCAACACGUAUCUCUAUCGGCUCCUAAGCACCUAGUGCGAGCCACCAGCCCUACGAGUGAUCCAUGGCCCGCUUCACAGCUAGCAAUGCUCAAGUGCUACUGGCAACAUACUUUCUCGGCUAAACCAAAUUCGCAAUCCAUGAGUACCUACACUCGAGCGUCGUACGCUUCUAUACCUUUCUAUACUAAGUCCAGCAUUAGGCAAUCUUGCCUGUGCGCACCAACCACACGAGGGCAUCUUCCAACCUCAAGUCGAGGUAGCACUAAUCUCACGUGCCAAAACUUGGCGGCUAACCAACCGUCUUCUCAACAGUGAUUCUACUUUCACUGUUCGGUCCGCCAGGACAACAUCCAAAACUCUCGGACUACUUGGACAUCCACAAAUGACUCAACUCUCGCAAUCAGCUACUCACAUUGCUUUGAGAGUCGCUCCACCAUUUCCAUCUCUACCAUGAGCUUUAUUCUUUACCCUUAGACUAUCACCAACAAUUCGCUAGUGCCCUCAAGCUCGCUACCUGCUCCGGCAGGUGCCACGCUCCCACAACGCAAGCAUGCCCAGGUAUCUAUACUAACCCGUCCACUUGGUCCCUACUAUGAUUAUGUAUAAUAGUAGUAAUUGACCGCAUGAUAACUGCAUGCAAUGCUCCAAAUUUAUAUUUCUCAAUUAAAUCAUACCUGCCACGACGUCGUCGGUAGCAGUGGGCUCCUCAUCCUGGGUAGCGUAUCCACGGCCACUUGGCGCUCGCCGCGAACCCCUUGGUUGCAUCAUCACUAUCGCCCGCUCUCCCGACCAUGCCACAGGUGGCACACCCGCAGGCUGUCUCGGAGAGGAAAAGGCCGUCGCCAAUGCUAGGGUCUGGCCAUCCCUUAGCGGGCACUCAUCCCGCACAUGGCACAGCUGCCUACAACGAAUACAUCUUCCAUCUCGCAACGCACAUCGCCACGCCCAAUGGGAACCACCACAAAUCACGCAGCCUGGGGAGGACCGGGUAAAGGAUGACUUCGGGUGUCGCUUGGAACUCGAUUGAUCACCCGAACUGCUCAAUAGUGGCCUCACCCCUCCCCGCUCACAUUCAAAAGAUUCGCGCUCCUCCCGCACGAUAGCAUUGCCUUGUUCUACCCACAAGGCCCGAUCCAAUACUUCGGCAAAAGUUUGCUACUUAAGUAUAUGCACAACUUUGAAAAUAUCCUACCGAAGUACCCGCACAAAGAAAUCAGCUUGGUCCUUGUCAUCCCGCACAACAUACGGGACACAACUCACGAUACGGGAGAAUUCUCUCUCGUAUUCCCUCACCGAGCGGUCUCCUUACCGCAGCUUCCUGAAUCUGUCCUGAAGCUUUCUCUUCUCGCUAUCGGGAAAAUAAGCAGAGAAUAUCAAUCCCCGAAACUCUUCCCAAGUCAAAGGAGGAAAACUAGGUAAUCGGUUUCACUUGACGCCUUUCCACCACACCUUUGCCGACUGUUUCAGACAAUGCAUGGCUAGGUGCACAUUGUCCCGCUCCACGGUGUACAGAUCCUCAAAGAGAGUUUCCAUGGAGUCAAUUCACAUCUCCACAAUCCACGGAUCUACAUUCUCUCCAUCAAAGGUAGGUGGAUCAAAUUUCUUGAAGGUCAUGAGGGCCGCCAAAGCUCGCUCCCUCUCCGUCUCCACCUCUGUACUAUCGGGAGUCGGAUUGCCCGACCUUGACGGAAAGGUCUCCGCCGCAACUCCCGGCCAUACACGACGAGCCGCAACUGGUGCGGUCACCAGCUGAUCCACCGUUUCUUGAAGUCUUUUAAUCAGCUCCUCCACUGGCGCAUGGCAACCUCCUGUUGACGCUGCACCACAUCGGCUUGUUGCCUCACCACUCCCACGAGUGUGGCCAACUAAUCGCGAUGUUCCAAGUCUCCGCUCGCCUCUGAUUGCUCAGGGACAUCACUUGUCCCAUCCCACGCCGAUUUAGUUGAGAUCGCCUACGCGGUGUCAUCGUUUCCUAAAACACAACAACUCGGUCAACUCUCGACCCUCUAGGUCAAGUACAAAAUGACUAACAUAAACCCAACUCAAAAUCAAAAGAAAAUCAUACAAGGGAGCCUAUUCUUAUCACUCGGUUUCAUGUCGUACACGCCCAACAUGAACACACCCGGCUGAGAAUAAACCACACCUUGGAUCUACCUCUAACAUCCUUUUUAGAGGCAUACAACACACGACCUAAUCGAUUCACCUUUCGCCAUAAGUCACAAGUUCUCGCCUCUCACGAGUCUAAGUUCCAUAUGGUUUACUAUCCUAGGGUCUCCUAGGUCCAUCUAAACUAUUUUUACACUAUGAUACCAUUUUACCUGUCACGCGUCGAGACCCGCCUAUUUGGUCUGAUUCGAGCGCGCCGACAGACCGCCGAACGGACAGAGUUUUCCCUAUACGUCCAAGGCGUCGCAACCAUACAAUACAAGAGGUCCCAACCAGGAACAGAUGUAAUACAUGGAUUGCAUAAGAAGGAUACAAAAAACAUAACUGCUAAGCUAUUACAAGCAUUCAACUCAUUACCACAUAUUUACAUCAUUUUACAUUCAACUUCUAAAUACAAUCCUCAUUAGUACAAUUUUGUUCUUUCUUUUUCUUUCCACACCCCUAUGCUACCAACUGGGGGUACUGCUAUCUCUGGCACAGUGGUAGGACGCUAUCUACUGAGCUAUGCCCUUACCUCUCGUCGCCGCGCCGGUCGCGUGUGGACCUAAAAAACGUAGGGUGAGAACUAUAAAUAGUUUCCAGUGGGUACUGACACCCAAGGGAAGAGCUUAACCCACCAGGUCCAAAGGAGGCAAAUCAACAUGUUAGUCCAACAGAUAUCCACAUAUAAUUUAUGCAAGUAUUAAAUACAUACGUAUGCGUCACAACAUGCAACAUGCGAUUCAUGCAAGUAGAUCUACUGAUUCUACUUUCUAUCUCACUAUCCAUAGCUCAUCCAUUUACCAUUCUAUAUCAUUGGCCAUUCUCUGACACUUGUCAUUCUCUCCUAAGGUUUUCUUUAUCUUAGCCAACUAUGCCACCUGACUCGGUCUUGAGUCAAUCAUCCGCGGAAUACCGCGUUCAGUCAGGCUCGAGGUGAAGGACGUCUCACAUGCACCUCAGUCUUAAAUUCUCUCAACUAUAGGUCAUCUCUCGGGCGAGGAAAUACCAUCGAACCCUUGACCAUAAGUUGCUCAAACUCAACGGGCGAGGAGAACCACACAUACCUAUCUCAACAAUCUCAUACCUAGCGAGGAGAACCACACAUACCCGUUGAAUCACUGCCGAGCGAGGAGAACCACACAUACCCGCAGUUAUGAUUCACUUGUGCUCAUCCUCAAGUCUCAACUGCUGCCGAGCGAGGAGAACCACACGUAGUCGCAGCCUCAAAUCCUAAGAAUUCCGGAAUCCACUUUUCAACUCUUGAGGGUUACUCAUAGACCCUACAAAGUCGACCUCUCUAGGUUCGACUUAUGCAUAUCCUAGUGGCCACUCUACCACUAUACUCCACAACCUAGGUUUAACCACGCUAGGUUCAACGCCACUACAUCUCAUAACCUAGGUACAACCACGCUAGAUUCAACGCCACUACAUCUCAUAACCUAGGUACAACCACAUUAGGUUCUAUGUCAUUUCCACCUAGAUGUACUUGACUCUAGGUUCAAUACUCAACCUAUGUUCAAUGACAUUAGGUUUGAUGCCACUCAUGCUAUUUGUUAUCCUAGUUGUCCACACCUAGGAUUCAUAAUUUACAUGCCACGUUGGUCGAGUUUUCUACUCUUCCUAAAGUUCAUCGACCUAUGUUUACUAUCCACAUCUAGGCAUUCGUAUAUAUACCCUAUAUGUCCACAUGCCUAUGUUUUUAUCAUCCAAUGGUAGUCAAUACAUAGCAUCUAUCUCAUGCAUUCACAUAGCAUCUAAACUACCAUUACAUGCAUCAAUAAUCAACCAUUGGAUGAUAAAAACAAGAGGCUUUGGGUUACUAGUUGUUACUAGUUGUUAUCAAUAAAUUAGCAUUACUCUCGCCUGUUUAUCAAUCUAGUGGUUACUAGUUGUUAUCAAUAAUUGUUAUAUUGAAAUGCCGAUCAAAGGAUCGAGAGCGAGAAUAUUGUGAGCUAAAACAUGUUAAUUGAGACAUGUUGGAAAGAUUAUGCUUGCUUGCCAUCGUGCUCAUUCGCACACGCUUGUGAGGGUCGCUCCCUACAAGCCGGCACUCCGGAGUUGGCCUACGCGACAGUUGCUCGCCUGUGCGGGAUUGAGUGCCGAAGUGGAUUGCCGUGGGGAGUGUAUACUACCACGGGGCCAUUAGGCACGGCGCAAGCUGGACUAUCUGGUGUAGGUCCUGAUAAAUGAAAAAGGAAAACUCUAAAUGAGACCAAGUACUAAAUGACAUUUGACAGUAAUGAAUGCUUACCAGUUACAGUGUAUAGUAGUUACUUACACAUUCGUGCUUAUGUUCAUGUUAUAUUCAUACUUACAGUAGUUGCUAAGCUUUCUUUAUUCAGUUGAUUCAUUACUGUAGAAAGUAUCAGUACAUGUUGCUUACAUGUUCAUUAAUUGUUAGCAUUGGAAAAUAUAUCAUGCAAAUUACUGCUUUUAUUUUCAUUUAGUACAUCAUGAGCCUAGUGGUGUAAUUCGUCGAGGCUGGCGGCUUACCCACUGGGAACUAUUGUUAAUAGUUCUCACGCCCUUUUAUGGUUGUUUUCACAGAGCCAUCUACAGGAGAGGCUAGGGAUCGUGGCAAGGGAGUCGCGUCUAGCUAGACAUUGCUAGGAGCGUGCUAGUCGAUCACCUUGCUACUCGGGCCACGACCAAGGGUGAUGUCCAGUGUAUAGAGAACUACCAUUGUACAGAUGUUUUGUGUACCCUGUGAUAUAUAUGAGUUUUGGAUCCAGAUGUCAUAGUUUGAUAUUUCUUCUUUAUGAUGUCGAGAUUUUGGAUUGAUUACUUUUUGUUCCUUUGUUGAUAAUUAUGGAUUUAUAUUUUGUUCUGAUAUCAGGAUAGGAUGUUUCUAUGUUCUUCCUAUCGACUUAUUUUUCAUAGACGUCUUAUAUACUGCAGGUGUAUGGCGGGUCUGUGCAUGUACGGGAUAUGCUUCCGCUGAUACCCUGGGCGUGACAGAUUAUAGUGGUAUCAGAGCCUAGGGUUGAGUCUUAGUAGACCGAGCAAACCUUAGGCUUGUUGGACUAUAAAAAUAGGCUCGUGAGAGACGAGGUCUAGUCGAGUUUGUUGUCAGCGAAAGUAUUUCGAUUGGGUAAAUUAUAAACUCCGAAUGGUAGGAGUUUGAUCGGAAUGUGCAAUUACUAACUUUGCAGAGGGCCACGUUGGCUGCCGACAACGUGACAUCGGAAGUUAGUAUGCGUUAUAUUUCAUUACUUUCGCUUGGUUAGCUGGCUUAUACCUGAAGUAAAGGUUUAAUAGUAUAGGUUUUAUUAAUCUAUGUUUGUUUUUGUGCUGCAGCUCAAGAUGCCUUUGACUCGUUCGAGAGCCGCCGGGGCGGCUGAGGCGGCUGAUGCGGAGGAAGUGGGGACCUCCGUUACUUCUGGAUCUAGUGAGAUCCAUGAGUUGCAGGAUCAGCUCGCGAAGCUGACGGACUUGGUUGCUCAGCAGGCUGCGGCAGCGCGACAGCAGAUGGAUGCCCCGCGUCGACAGGAGGACAGGAUGAAGAGGUUAGAGGAUUUACUACUGCGGCAGACGACCGACAGAGAGAUUCCUGAUCCUAGACCUACAGUACCAGAUAGGGAUGCGACAGUGAGAGCACAGUCACCAGUACGAGACACACCCCCAGUAGCUCCGAGGGUAGAGCCCCGACAGGAGACAGUUGUACCACCAGUGCAUGUGGCUGCGGCAGGGACAGUGUUACCUGAGAUGGUGGCGGUUGAGGAGCGAGAGCGGAUGAUGGAAAGGUUGAAUGAGUUUCGGCAUUGCAACCCUCGUAUCUUUGACGGGGAGAAAGCUGAUCAUUGGGUGGUCGAGAAAUGGCUGAUACACAUAGAGAAGCUAUUCUAUGAUACUUUCGUCGAUGAGCGAUAUCGGGUUUGGUUUGCGACACACCACCUGGAUGGCGAGGCUUACAGGUGGUGGGUGGAUAUCCGGGAAGAUCCCCGUGCUGAUUUGUCCGCUAUCACCUGGACGAGGUUCAAGAAAUUACUGUUGACUACCUAUUUUCCUCAGAGUGUAAAGAGGCAAAUGGAAAGGGAUUUGAGAAACCUGAGACAGGGGGACAGGACAGUGGCUGAGUACGAGCGAGAGUUCUCUCGAUUACUACACUAUGUUUCUUUUGUGGUUAGAGAUGAUGAGGACAAAGGCUCGCAUUUUUUAGGUGGGUUUGCGGCCUGCGAUUUUCAGAUUGGUCCAGGCGUCAAACCUCUCUACUUACAGAGAAGUGGUGAACCGGGCCUUAAUUGUUGAGAAAGGGGUGAAAAUUAUGAAAGAAAGAGAUGUUGUGGAGCGAAGGGAAAGAGACCAGCAGCUGAGAGCAGUGGUCAGCAAUCUUUCAGGAGAUCGCCAAAGUAUCCGAGAGGCUAGUCGGGCCAGUCGAGGGGUCGAGGUUCGUCAGCACGCCGUGGAGCACCCGAGCGUCGUCCACAGCCGCGUUGUGUUAUCUGUGGUGGGCCUCACGUACCGCCACAGUGUCCACAACGUGGGGGCAAGUGUUUUA
rnacentral:lncRNA from 1 species